UAUAGGGUUGGUGAAAAAUAUGGAAACAGCUUAGGUAAUUUUUUGCUAUUGGUAUUUUUGCUCAUUUUCUCUUUCAAGUUCUGUUUCGAAAUCUUUUAUCACAUAACCACCCUCCCAUUCAAAAUAAAUUAAGUUGGACUCAUAUGACAGAUCCAAGAUGGCGAGCAAAAAUGUUGAAGCGACAGAAAAUUAGCUAUUUUUGAAUUUAAAUUGAAUCCUCCAUGAAACCUACUGUCAAAGUAUACUUUUAAUUGAAUUUCAAGCUGUUAUCCUUGGCUGUGGGUACAAUGCAUAUUGGCCUGGAGCUAGUAGCAGGAGAGCAAUGGGUCGUCUCCCGUUUCCAGCAGGAGGAGCGCCUAUGGGAAGGCGCGAAUCCUGAGUCCUGGUGAUGAUUGUUUAUGCGGCCCUGAAAAGUGAAAAGGGCCAGGGGGGGGUAGCGCUUGUGGCUUAGAGCCGGAGAUGGUGAGGAGGUAGAGGUGGUUCUGUCCCUCGGCUGUCCUUGGAUCCGGAGUUGGAGCCUCGGGAGGAAUAGCUGGGGAUGGGGGCGGCAGGUCCAGUUGCAGCAGCCUUCAGGGAACUGGCCGCGUCGUCCUCUUCUCGGGACUCCGGAUCAGGCUGAUUUGGGCGCCGCUGUAGAUGCGCUCAAAGUCGGCCUUCCAAUAGGCUAAGUUAGCCUCUUCCUCCGAUGCUAGCAGGUCCAGCCACGCUUCCCCGUUCAACUCCGGGUAGACGGUUGUAGGCCGUCAGAACGUCGCUAUUGGCUGGGGAGAGCCCACUAGCUACACCACUCACCAGCAAACCACGGUAGUUUCCCUCAGGUUCUACCACACGGUCUGCAGGCCUUUAGGUCUUUAGGCCUUGGGGUCCCUAGGCUAGGUACCCUUCCGUGAUUUACCGGGAGCGCCUCGCCAGGUACCACCUCACCGAGCCGUUGGAGGCGUUCUUUCAGCUUCCUUCCCCGUCGCCGGAGCCUCUGGGUGCCGCUGACUGGAGUGUAAGCUCCGGUUCCUCCCUGGCAUAUAGCAGAUUUGGGAAAUGAGAGGAAAAACACAAGUAUGGUUCAACUACUCGGCUUGGUCCUCAAUUUCCACCAGCUCACCACAAAGUAAGAGGGAACAAACACCGUUUAGGGUACCUCCGCUCUAAGGUCCAACUGGCUUGCCAGCAGGGGAAGAACUGAUUUGUCUCUACGCUACUGGUGGAACAUAUGAGGGUGAGUCAUUGCACCCUAACUCGGUAGUGUCUUGAGCUAUGGAGCUCUAUGACUGCUCAAAGUAAUGACAGUGCUGAAGUUGGGGGUUCCUGAUAUAUAAGAUCUUUAGUAGAACUUGGCAAUUUUAUCUUUAUUAUUUUUUUUUCAUUUUAUUCUCUGAUUUUUCUUUUUCUAAUUCAAUAAUUUCUGAUAUUAUAAUUCUAGUUAAUUUUCAUUUCAUUUUCAAAAUAUAUUUUUAAAAGUGAAAAUAUGUAUAUAUAUAUAUAUAUAUAUAUGUAUCUUUUUUUGUCAAGUCUACUUUUUUGGGAGAAGUGGUAAUGGAGAAGGUUUCUCUUCUAGGGAAUUUAGUACUGUGAACAGUGGCUGACUGACAAUCAGCUGCUGGCACCUUCAUGGCCCAACUGCUAACUGUCAAUCAGGCCACCAUUGUUGAAAUGGGAGUGGCUUGUGGGUCUGAGCUGGUUUUGGUACUUCGUACAUCUGCCUUAUUGAUGUACGCCACGAGAUAGAAGCUGUAUCAUGAAGCUUUCGAGAUGUGAGCUGAAUGAAGUUGAGUAAUUGAGGGGUACUGGCAUAUUCAUAGAGUAACCUGUUAUUCACAAUGUAGUGAAAGUUGCAGAUGGUUCUGAUGAGUCUGUUUUGAAGGCCAAAUAGACGUUUUCUAUUGGUCUUCGAUAGAUAUGGGAACCAGACUGGGGCGGCAUAGGUCAGGUAUGCCCUGAUGAUGGCUGUGAAUAUGAGCAGCCGAAAUUUAAGGGGGAGUGAAGGGGUGACAAGAAGGGGGAAUAGUUGUACAAACAGCACACGACAGUGUUGAAUUUUCACUUUAAUGUGUUGUUUGAAAGUGAGUGUUCUGUCCAGAGUUACACCUAGGUACGUGACGGUAUGGGACCAUGGGAGGGCGUGACCAUGGAUUUUGAGAGUGGGAGGAAGUUAAAGUUUUCGGGAAAAGGCGACAGCCAUACAUUUAGUUGGAUUAAUCUCUACCUUCCAGGAUGAACACCAGGAUGUAAGCAGGUUUAACUGCUCUUGAAAAUUCCUGGCCGCCCUAUUCAGAUUCAUGCUGCUCCAGUGGAAUGUGGUGUCAUCAGCAAAUAGACUUGUUUGAACUGAAGGUAGAGAUGGCAUGUUGUUGAUGAAGAAGGAGUAGAGGAUAGGUCCAAGCACAGAUCCUUGGGGGACACCUGCUGUUGCUGGGGUGAGAGCUGAAGAGUUUACUGAAGAUGGGGUGCGGGUGUGAACUUCAAAAUACCUGUUAGUAAGGUUUGACUUGAAGAGUCUUAUUGUUGAAGGUGGAAAGACAGAUGAAAGUUUAUAGAGUAGUCCAUCCAGCCACACAGUGUCGAAGGCUGCUUUGAAGUCUAUAAAGACUGCAACCACGUGCUCUUUCUUGUUGAAAGAAUCUGAUAACUGAGAGCAGAAUUUCAUUAGUUGCAGUGUUGUUGAACAACCUGCACGAAAUCCAAACUGUUCUGGCCUUAUCACACUAUCUAGUGUAUCUCGUAUAUGUUUCUCCAGAAACAUUUUCUCAAAAAGCUUUGAGAAAAAGCAGGGUAUGGAGAUUGGCCUGUAGCUGGAUGGUAGGGUGGAGCGUUUUCCUGGCUUUAGGAGCAGGAAUAAUUUGCUCUUUUUCCAUUCUGAGGGGAAGUGUUGGGUGUUCAGAAUGGAAUUGAAAAUUACAAGCAGGUGUUGGGCUAGCUCUGGAGGUGCAUUUAAGAUGGCCUUCCCAGAAAUACCAUCAAGACCUGGGGCCUUUUUUGGAUUGGUAUUUUUAAGUGCAUUUGUUAUAUCUCCCAUUGUAAAAGGUGAAAGAUUAUUUGGGGUGGGGUCUUGCACUGUUACUAAAACACUGUCGACUAUUUGUCUAAAGUGGGUGUCGAGCUCUUGACUGAGGGACGGGUGGAUUUGAGAAGUGAAGUUCUAGAUGUGAGGCAAACUUAUCCACUUUCUCUUGGUCUGAGAAGAUUAGCCCAUUUGGGCCCUCAAGUGGAGAGUUUGGAGGUUGUUUCCUGAGAAGUUUUCGGGUAGCUUGCCAGGCUGAGUUGGGUGGCAAAGAGGUGAGAUACUCUUCCCAAGAUUGGAGGCGAUGUAGUCUAAGUAGUUGAGAGCAUUUGUUUGAUGCUCUAUUGAAUGCAUAUUUGUCAGCAGGAGCUCGUGUUAUCUGCCAACGUUUGCGAGUGCUGCGGCGCUCACUGAUAGCCACUUGAAUUUCAGUGGGAAGUAAUGAGCGUCGUUGGGGUGGGGCUAAGGAAGUGUUAUCAGCUGGUGCUGUUUUUAUUACUUCCGUGAUAUUUGCUGUAUGAGCUUCCAAGUCGACAGUGUUCGAAUGUGUGCUUGGUAGGAUUGGAAUAGAAUUUGACACACUUUCAUGAUACUUCCUCCACUUCACUGUAAGGCGAUGUGGAGGUGGUCUUGCAAUGUAGUCGGGAUUCACAAGAGUGAACAACACUGGCAGGUGAUCUGAAGACAGGUCCUCGACCACCUCAACCAGGGAGGUCUUUGUAAGUCCCACUGACAAUGCAUAAUCCAAUAUGUCAGAUUUGUCUCACUGGAGGAGCCCGCUUAUAUAGCAGGGUAGUCCCUUCCAGUGAGCGAGAGUUAGCUACCAGUGUAGGUGUUGCGCGCUGGAGAUGCGCGCCAGCAGGGACCCUUAGCCGCCUAGGCUUGGGUGGCGCGAUCUAGUGGUUUCGAGCUGAAGCGAGGGUAUCAAAGCUCUUUCCAUCAUUUUCACCAACUCUGUAUAAUCACAAGUUGCGGAUUCUAAAGAUCAUGAGCUACAGUUCAUGAGCGAGUUUUCCAACCCAGAGGGUCCCUAGUUAUAAAAUAUUAUGUAGCAUAAAAUAAAUAAUCCACAUGACAACUUGACUCUUCAUCAUUGAUGAUUGAUAUUCACUAUGGAAGAGGCGACUGGAGCAUGUGUUUAGAAUGAAAAUACAAAACCUAAUAAGAACCCUGUGAGAACCUAGUAACGGGUGUUUUUUUUAGAGGUAUAGAACUUUAAAUUGCAAUAAAACAACAAUGGAUUAUUCGAUUGACAUAUUUUUUAUGGAAAGAUAAUCUUGUGACAAUACAUUGGCUUAUCCGCAUAGACCAAUGACUUUACAUAGCCCCACAGAAAUUUUUCUAGCGGUGUUAAACCACAAGAUCUUGGAGGCCAAUUCACAAGUCCAAAACGUGAAACUAGACGGUCACCAAACGAGUGUCGUUCAAUAAAACUGAUUGUGGCACGAGCUGUGUGACAUGUUGCGCCGUCUUGUUGGAACCACAGCACCUGGACAACAUGAUUGUUCAAUUCAGGAAUGAAAAAGUGAGUGAUGCUCCAUAAAGUGGAUGGACACAUAUCGAUGGCGGAUGGACUCAUUCGGGUCUUCCGCAAUGCUACACACUACAGUAGCAAUAGCUUCUACUGUACGCACCGUACGAUGACUCUGUGGAUGUGAGUUAUCAAUAAGAGUUAACGUCAUGCGAAAACGUGAUUUGAUUUUGAUUUAUUUCUUCUUUUUUACAAAAUACAAUAUAUACAAUAUUAAAUGUGAAGAAGGCUCCUCAUAUGGGCAAAUGCCUGUGAGUGAGGAGCGAGUUCCAAAUACAAUUGAGUAUUCUAUACUUAUAAGAAUGAAGACAAAUCAUAAAAAGUAAAGAUUUCAGCUUUUAGAAUUAUUGAUAAUGAACAAGCGACAAAAUACCUAUAAUCCAAUACCUAUUCUAAAAUACCUAUAAGUAAUAUAAUUCAGUAUGUUUUCCAGUAGGCACACUUUUCAGGCAUCGACAUAGAUGGAUGCCGACAUGCACUCCGAAACACACUAGCACACACACAAACUUAAACGACUCAUAAUCUAUUGACAUAGAAAUAAUGAACUGAGCAGAUUAUUAACCAUAGAGCAGAUUAUUUCGCACUGUAUAAUUUGCUCAGAGACUAUGUUCUUCCUAUUAAUAAAUGAGUUACCACUUCAGAUACCCAACUCCAAGUGCUUGAUAUUCGCUUAUUCGCUGACGAUAUGAAGAUCUACAAAGAGGUGAGAGGAUUGGAUGAUUGCUAUUCCUUGCAGGCUGAUGUUGACAGAGUUGCAUUGUGGUGCCACGUGAAUAAGCUUGAUAUCAAUUUAAAAAAAUGUAAAUGUAUGACUUUCUCCAGAAAGGUUAAUCCAGCUCGUUAUUCCUACUCAAUCAAUGGUGUGUGCUUGGAGAGGGUAACAAUGUGUAAGGAUCUUGGUAUUGCAUUCAGUUGUACAUUGUCCUUUUCAGCACAUGUUGAUCACAUCAUUGGCAGAGCGAAUAAGCUAUUGGGCUUUGUUCUGAGAAACUCUACUGGCUUCAAUAACGUUGAGACUGUUGUAACUCUGUAUCAAUCGCUAGUCAGAAGUGUCCUUGAGUACGGAUCUAUUGUCUGGAGUCCCUCUACUCAUCAGGAUACAUUAAGAGUCCAACCAGUACAGAAUAAGCUUCUUUGCUUCCUAUUUUAUAUGCAAUUUAGAAGAGCCUGUCCCUUGGGUUUCCCUUCUGGACGUUUGAGAUCCCUUUUCAAUAUGGACUCUUUGAGGGCUAGACGUGACAGGUUUCCAUUGAUGUUUGUGGUAUCACUUUUGAAAAAUUACAUUAAUUCACCCGCUCUCCUCUCUAGGAUUGGUUUCCAGGUACCCACGUUCAAUGUCAGAAGAGUUAGGACCUUUCAUGUACCAAGAUCAAGGACCCUUCAUAACUUCUGCUCUCCAUUUAAUAGAGUUCUGAGGCUAUUCAAUAGCGUUUGUGAAGGUGUUGAUGUGCAUGGCCCAGUUAGUGAGGUUAGAAGGCGCAUUAUUAAGGCUAUUCAUAAUUGAAUUUGAAUUCAGUUUCUGAAUUGAUUCAAUUAAUAUGAUGUCCGUGAUUCUUAUUAGUUUUAUAGAGUUGAUCAAACCUACAGUUUAAAUCCCUUAACUUUUAUACUUGAAUAUUUGUUGUUGUUAAAACUUUUUCUUUUUUCUUCUCUGCUUUCAUCAAUUUUCUUCCCACAGUGGCACAUGUUUUCCCUUAACCUGUUUCUAUGCUCAAUUGUAGGCCUAUUCUUUUUAUAACUUAUUGGAUAAGUUUUAGAUAAGUUUGGAUAAGUUAGAUUAGUUUUUAUUCUGUAUUUAUUAUUAUUUAUGCUUAGAUUACUUACAAUUACUUAUGCUUUCCUCAUACUUAUCAACUUUCUUAUGUAUUUGUGAAUUGCAUGUACUGUAUCUCUUAUUUUUAUUUCUUUUAGUAACUUACUUUAUUCGAUUGUAAAUGGUAGUGAAGACUGUUUUGGGCUUAAUGCCUGUAGUCUGUAAUAGUUAUUCUGUAAUAAAUAAUAAUAACAUAAUCUUCCAGUUCAUUACAACUGAUGCUAGAGAUAACAUAAAAUCCACUCAUCAACAUUUUUUUUUAAAUGACCAAUUCUUUUAUUUACUGGGUUUUUUAUAGUUUCAGGUAAUUUGGAAAAAGUAUAUUGAUUUUAUAAUGAGACGAUGUGGAAGUGAUUGUCUUUAUUAAACGAGGAACAACGGUACCGGGGGGUUUGAUAGCUUUAUUGUCCUGUCACCAGCUGGCUCAGAUCUUUGAAAUUUGAAUAGUAGUAGACUUGAGAUGCGCGGGAACACUAGCGUCAGGUGAUCAAUUUUCAUAACGGCAAGGAAAGUUGUGUGAGUGCGCCACACCAGAUUUUUCAAGUAAGUGUAAUAUUUCUAAAGGUUUUUAUUCACUGUGAUUCAUUUGAAGAAGUAUUAUGUCAACCUUCAAAAUUCAAAAUCUUUAAAUAUCAAGUACCUGGAUCAAAAAUCAAGUGAAGAAGCAGUGUGUGAUAUCAUAACCUCAAACUUUGGACAACAUUAACUUUUUAUCAAAAUUUUUGGAGAGAAAUAUUACAGGCUCAGCCUAUUUUUUCCUCCAAUGUCAUAAUUAUAUUAUGAUUGUAGUAUUUUGCACAAUAAAAAAAAGAAAUAAAUAUUUGUAUACUUCCAUCUAAUAUACUGAAAUUGACUCUUCAACCAUUGAAUACAAGAAAAAUCCACAAUAAAUCUAUACUCAAUAACAAAUUGGCUUUUAUAUACUUCGCUCCUAUAAUUUACUAUUUAAAUUGUGAUCUAUUUGACGAAUCAAAUUCCGAUGAUUAUCCAAUAGAGUGCAAAUCAGUAGAUGCUCAUUGCCAAUACUAGCAUUAUCAGAGCCAGCACUGAAUUGUUCGUGCAAGGGCAUGAACAUUUUUUUCAUGACGUCACUGAACAUGUUCGGCCAAACAAUGUUCACCAAUGCUCUCCAGAUGUGAACGCACCUUAAGCCAUAAAUUUAAAAAAUAGAAUAAAAGCAUGUGAUAGUUAUUACAAUCAUUCUUACUUCAAUGCCUAACUCUUUACUCUGUAUUCAUAAUUAUUAUUGCAAAAAUGAACCCGUGAGUUACUGAACUCUAUCAUCAUUAUCGUACUCAAGUUGAUUGGUAAAGUUUAUGUCAAGCUAGAGUACUUCGUACAAAAGAAAAAUCUUCAUAUUUUAACACUAUACAAUUAUUGUGUUUCUCGUCGAAUAAUAUUUUAGGCCUAGUUAAAUUAAAGGAUAUGAUAUAAUUGAUUGAAGAUGAAUCAAUUUUGGUUGUAUUGUAAUGCUUAGUUCUUUUUGUUUCAGGUUUUUGAUGAAAACUGGGUAUGACUCUUGGUUUCUGAAUUGGUUUCAAGAUAGGUUGCUGAAACGUUUAUUGAACGUACUAUUGAACACUUGAAUAAAGUUGAGCAUUGAAACCUUUAAUCACUUGAGAAGUUGGCCAACCAAGUUUUCAGUACUUAAUUAUAUUCAAUGGUUCAUUGAGUUUGAUAAAGAUUCCAGCAACUGAGUAUUAUAAAAUUUUGUUAGGCCUGUAUUCAGUGCUGUUUUUGAAACAAUAAUAGGUUUCGGUAAUGUUCCUGGGGAUCUGGAGAGUAUUCGGAAGGAGGACCUCCCCGGAACACUUUUCAAAUUUAGCCUCAAAAAGGAUAUUUUAAAUCUAUUUCGAAGCUAAUUUUUUUUUGAAAAAUAUGUUUUUCCCAAGAGCGUACGGCGCGGUACGGCGUACCAGCGCGUACUGUCUCAAAAAUAGCACUGCCUAUUUUUAUAUUCCUAGGAUUGUAUUACAUUGGAGCAAAUUGAUGGAUGACAGCAUGACAGUGUCCGGAUGUCUGAUAAUCUGCAACUGGAUAAUCGAUUUUAUAGUCUGUAUAAAAUGAGUUGAGACUUGGCCCUCCAUCCAAAGAGGUUACAGCGUUGCCAAACUGUGUAAAAUUGCAAAUUACUCCAUUUUGUUUUAAUCAUAGAAUUGAUUGUGGAAUGUAAUCCCCGAUAUUCCAGCAGUGCUGGAAAAGUUUCAAGAUUAGAUGAUUAAAAGAAAUUUUUUUGAUAAAAUUGAAAACAUUGUGAAAAUUUGUUUUCUUUUGGAUAUCUUUUCUCUCAGAGUUAUGGGGCGUCAUAAUAAGUGAAACAUUUAUAUCAAAAUAAUGGGAAAAAUGUCUUCUUCCUAUUGGUAUCUGAAUUAUUCUCAUCCGAUCUAUAGUUAUUGUUUAAUUGAUUAUUAUCAUUGUCAAUUUCGAGAUAUUUUGAGCAGAAAACAUUAAACUUUUGACAUGCCAGGACCUUUUUUGUUUCCUAAGAUAAGUAGGUGGAGAAGGCGAGAAAGUUUCUCCGAAAUAAUUGAAGUUAUUUUUACAAUUGUCAAAAGAAGGAGAAGGGACGUAUUUUGGACUCUAAGGAGAUGCAAAGUCAAGCGGAGCGGCUUAUGUGAGAUGGCACAACAGGCUUAUGCCCAAAACUGUUCCUUUCUAGAAUGUAUACUACAGUCCAAAUCAAAGUGCAGGUUAAGCUACUAUCACUUAUUAAAAUAACUUUACACUUGAAAAAUUUAAACAAUUUACUAUCAAAUAACAAACAAAUCUUCAAUGAAGAAUUUAUAUCAUAAAUAACUGAAUCUCACAUAAUUAGAAACAAUUAUCCAAAAAAUCUAAGUUUUUAAUAAAACUGGAAAAUCUCGAACCGAAAACUGUGUUAUGCCAUCAAUAUUAAUAUCUAUCUACUUUGAUCAAUAGCUAGGAUCAACAAAAACACGAGACAGAACGCUUGAAAAAUUCAGCGACUGCAAGCCACAUUAUUAUAUUAAUUGAAAAUCACAACCUUGCCUCGAAUAAUUCAAACAUUGUUACAUGACAACAUUUCUCAUUGCAGUUAACUGCUUGCAGUUGGAAUAUUUCAGUCAAAAAUAUAAUUAUUUUAAAUUGCUAGCGUAUUACUGGCUAUUUAUUUAGCGUACAAUUUAGUACACAAUGCAUACAUACCAUGCAGCCGCUGUCCUAAGUUUAAAAUCCUUUGAUAUCAAAAUACGAAAUACGAUCUUCCAACAACUUUUGACAAUUGGAAAAAUAAGUUUAAUUAAUUCUGUGAAACUUUCUCGCUUUCACCACCCACUUAUCUUUUCAAGCAAAAAAGUUUCUAAAGGUGCGUUUACAUCAAAGUUAUAAACAAAAUGCUUAUUUAUAGAAUAAGGAUAGAAUAAUAAGCUUUUUUAGAUUCUAUAAGAUUCAACAUAACUUAUCAUACACAUGCUGCGUGUAAACGCAGCUUUACAGGUCGAAAAUUUCAUGUUUUCUCCCCAAAAUGUUUCAAAUUUGAAUAAAAUAGAUGAAUUUUAAGGUGAAAUAAAAGCGAUAUUGUCAGUUGCACAUAGUUCCACAAUUAUGGAGAACUGACAAUAUUGCUUUUAUUUCACCUUAAUAUGGAGAAAUUCCAUACAGUAAAUAGAUAAGGCUUAUGGUUAAAGUGUGUCCGUUCAAAUUUUCACUGUAUAAGUCUACAUUAGUUCAGUAUUCAUUUUGGUAGCUAGGUAUUUUAUUACUCAUUGAAUUUGAAUAUAAAAGUUCUAAAAAUGUUUAAAAAAUUAUCUUCCAUCUUAUAUCUUAUUUCUUUUUAUUGAUUUUAUCAUGUAAUUCUAUCCUUUUCAUCUAUUCGUAUUCUAUCAAUUCAUCAUUCAUUAUAUUCUUAAAUGUGAUUGACUAUGAAUUGCUGAACUUUGUAGUCAGUGGCGCUGACUCUGGAUGGGCAAGAUAAUCCGCAUGCAUUUUCACUCCUAAGUUCUCAGUUUCAAAGAAACUAAAAUCAAAAUGGCAAAGUUAUACAUUUUUCGAAUUGCAUUAUUACAAUAACUUUGUAUUAAACAUCUUAAAUAAUAAUUCUGCUUAUAUUCAGUAUUAUUCUGUUUAUUUCUUUUUUUUAAUCUAAAAAAUAUCGUGAAGAAUCGUUUAAUUUUAUUAACCGGUCACGAGUAGGGCACACUAGGCCUUGAAUCCUCUCCCCCCUCCACCAUCAAUAAUUUUUGAAAGUCGGCGCCACUGCUUUCAGUACUGUAGUUCUUCCAUUGGACGCUUAGGCCUACUUCUAGAACUGCUUGUUCAAAUUAUAAAUAUAUUCAUACCAAUAAUACAAGUUGUUCACUUGACAGUUAUUGUGGAUAUUGACAAUUCAGUUGUCUUUCGUGUGAGAUGUUUUUCUUUUACAGCUACACCAAUUUGAUGUCUAGUCAUUUGCAUUAAAUGAUUGAACUGAAAA
rnacentral:lncRNA from 1 species